UACGUAGGAGGCAAGCGUUGUCCGGAAUCACUGGGCGUGAAGCGCGUGUAGGUGGAAGAGGAAGUCUGCUGUGAAAGCGCCUGGCUUAACCGGGCGAGGUCGGUGGAAACUCCUCAUCUAGAGGUCGGUAGAGGGGGGUGGAAUUCCGGGUGUAGUGGUGAAAUGCGUAGAGAUCCGGAGGAACACCCGUGGCGAAGGCGGCCCCCUGGGCCGCACCUGACGCUGAGACGCGAAAGCGCGGGGAGCGAACGGG
rnacentral:rRNA from 1 species